rnacentral:rRNA from 1 species
AACGAACGCUGGCGGCAGGCUUAACACAUGCAAGUCGAACGCUCGUAGCAAUACGGGAGUGGCGGACGGGGUGAGUAACGCGUGGGAACGUGCCCUGAGGUACGGAAUAACUGAGGGAAACUUCAGCUAAUACCGUAUGAGCCCCGAGAGGGGGAAAGAUUUAUCGCCUUGGGAGCGGCCCGCGUCGGAUUAGCUAGUUGGUGGGGUAAACGGCCUACCAAGGCUUCGAUCCGUAGCUGGUCUGAGAGGACGAUCAGCCACACUGGGACUGAGACACGGCCCAGACUCCUACGGGAGGCAGCAGUGGGGAAUCUUGCGCAAUGGGGGCAACCCUGACGCAGCCAUGCCGCGUGAACGAUGAAGGCCUUAGGGUUGUAAAGUUCUUUUACCCGUGACGAUGAUGACGUAACGGGGAAUAAGCUCGGCUAAACUUCGUGCCAGCAGCCGCGGUAAU